rnacentral:rRNA from 1 species
CCUACGGGUGGCAGCAGUGAGGAAUAUUGGGCAAUGGACGAGAGUCUGAACCAGCCAAGUAGCGUGAAGGAUGACUGCCCUAUGGGUUGUAAACUUCUUUUAUAUGGGAAUAAAACGUUCCACGUGUGGGAUUUUGUAUGUACCCUAUGAAUAAGGAUCGGCUAACUCCGUGCCAGCAGCCGCGGUAAUACGGAGGAUCCGAGCGUUAUCCGGAUUUAUUGGGUUUAAAGGGAGCGUAGGUGGAUUGUUAAGUCAGUUGUGAAAGUUUGCGGCUCAACCGCAAAAUUGCAGUUGAAACUGGCAGUCUUGAGUACAGUAGAGGUGGGCGGAAUUCGUGGUGUAGCGGUGAAAUGCUUAGAUAUCACGAAGAACUUCGAUUGCGAAGGCAGUUCACUGGACUGCAACUGACACUGAGGCUCGAAAGUGUGGGUAUCAAACAGGAUUAGAUACCCCAGUAGUC